UACGUAGGUGGCGAGCGUUAUCCGGAAUUAUUGGGCGUAAAGAGCGCGCAGGUGGUUGAUUAAGUCUGAUGUGAAAACUGUUGGCUCAACCAAGAGAUUGCACCUGAAACUGUCUAGCUUGAGGGUAGGAGAGGAAAGUGGAAUUCCUAGUGUAGCGGUGAAAUGCGUAGAUAUUAGGAGGAACACCAGUGGCGAAGGCGACUUCCUGGCCUAACCCUGACGCUGAGGCGCGAAAGCGUGGGGAGCAAACAGGAUUAGAUACCCCCGUAGU
rnacentral:rRNA from 1 species